GAGCGAUCAAGCGACUUAAGGGCAUUUGGUGAAUGCCUUGGUGCUGAGAGGCGAUGAAGGACGUGGUACGCUGCGAUAUGCUUCGGGGAGCUGCGAACAAGCUUUGAUCCGAAGAUUUCCGAAUGGGGAAACCCCUGGCUUCGGCCAGAUCCUCACAUGAAUACAUAGUGUGUGGAAGCAAACCCAGGGAACUGAAACAUCUAAGUACCUGGA
rnacentral:rRNA from 1 species